AGGAGCUUCCACCACGUGGCCCGAAACGCUGCUGCUGCGCGGGGACGGGGACGGGGACAGGGAGCAGCCGCGGCCAGGGCUGCCCGGUGGCGGCAGCAACGGCCCCUUCCUCCCGCGCCGUUAAGGCAGGGAGGCUGCUCUCAAGUUGCGGUUAGGUAUGAAGAGAGAGGACUGAAAGUCCUGCUCUGUGGGGGAAGUACUCGGCAAGCUGCACAUGACUGGCAGCUAUCGGAGCUCUUGCAGGAUCCCGUGUUUGCUGCCACCUGUCAGGUGCAUGAUAACAGUCAUGCAGAAAGGCUUUUAAAAAGAAAGUGGGAGGCUCUCAUCACCGCAGCUGAAGGCUGGAGCCCAAAAACCCCGGCUGCCCAGAAGGAGCUCGGUGAUUUCUGGCUGACAGGGCACGCUGCGCGCUGCAAAUGCCGAGCUGGCCCCGACAGGCAGCUCCCUCGGAGCGGAGGAGCCACCGCGGCCGCCCGCCUCCGAGAAAGGCCGGUGGGGAGCCGGGGCAGGGUGAAGACACCUGGUGUCACCCGGGACCCGAACCACCAGCGCCGGCUGCAGACCGUCCCCUCUGCUGGUUGCACUCGCCAAUGCGCCGCCGGGACGGGGCGGCGGGAAAACGAGCCUCUGGAUGGGCGAACGUGGAAAAAAGACAAGCUGGAAGGGAGAAGACGCGUCGGGGGAAGCACGUGGCACUGCGUUGAUGUAAAGGGGAAGCAGGCAGCAAGAAGUGAGGGAAGAGCGGAGCGAGAGGGAGAAGGAUGCGUCCGCGUGCAAGCGUUCGACACCCUGCCCGAACAAAGGCCGACUGUGGCUGUUGUUGAGUCACACGAUAAGAUCAUUGUUGCAGGAUCUUUUUUUCCCUCUCUCUUUUUUUUUUUUUUUUGCAUUUGUGUGUCACUUAGAAAGAAAUUCUUCUUACAGAAUCGCCUCUGCUCCGCUCCGCCCCCAGCGCGCCGGGAGAAUCUGUGCUUGGAGCUGGCGCUGAGGCUGGAGAGGGAACGUUCCCUUCCUGAUCCUUAUCGCCAGGAUGUAGGAGGAUCCUCGGGGAAUAGCUGGAAGCCUUUGCUGGAGCCAUCCCAGCAGCGAGCAAGCUCGCUGUAGCCUUUAAAUGGCAAAUCCAUCAGGCCUGCGCGGGCUGGGCUCCGACGCGCCGUUUAACCCCAUCGAACUAGGGCGUUGCUCGUCGCCGUCGCAUCGAGACCUGCCUCCGCGCGAAGCCGGACCUGCCCCCGGCCCCGCGCACUCCCGCUCCCGCUCGGGCCGCCUUCCCCGCGGGAUGCUCCGCAGGCGUCGCCGCCAGCUAAAUCACGCCUGAAACGAAGCCUGAAGCUGCUGGCUCGCGAGCCGGUGUGGGCACCGCGGCUGCCGGCCAAGAGCUCUGGUUCGGCUCGCGCCUUCCGGCCGCGUCCGUGACUUUUUUCCUCCUCCAGAACUGUCAAGCUUCGGUGAAAAACGGCAAGGAAAGCACCGACGCUUCUUACCCCAACGCUCCCCGCGGCCAGCCGCGCCAGCCCACCCGGCAAGGCCCCCUUCAAGCCACAGCUGUUUCUAUGAGAAAAGGGGUCCCAGCAGCCCAGCCGAAGCAGCGUCCCUCGCAGAAGGGUUGUGCCGGGGCCGGCGCCCUCCCGCUGCCACAGAGCCCUUGCGGCGGCCCCGCAGCCGGAUCCGGUUAUAUUUAGGGCAGGAAACAGAUGCUGCCUGGCGGAGGAAGCAUCGGAAGAACAGCAGCGCGCCAGGAACACGACGGGGCCGGGUUGCACCGAAACGCCCAGAUUCGGCCCUGAUCGGGGCAGGUGCCGUUCGGCCGGCCGGGGCGCGCAGCUGCGUCCACGGGGACGACGGCCCAAAGGGUUUUUGCUGCUUCCUGCACGCGCCGGGAGCUGGCGCUGCCCCCGCUCCGAUGUGCCCCUACAGAUGUGUCGGGGCGGUGGAAGCAGAUCUGCGCCGUCCCAGCAGACGCAGGGCUGGGCGGCACGGAAAGCAGGUGACCCUCAGCUCCAGGACCUGGAGUUUAAUGCACUUAUUCAGCACAACUGCAGAGCAGGUAGGGAUCCCACGGAGGUCCCCGCCUCGUACAACACCCCGUAGCUCCCGAAAGCAC
rnacentral:lncRNA from 1 species